rnacentral:tRNA from 1 species
UAUAUUUUAUUGUAAUUUUGCAUUUAAAUUUUUGAAAUUUAAGGGAUUAAUUUUAAUUAAUAAAUAUAA